rnacentral:lncRNA from 1 species
GCAAUCUAUAUGUAAGUCCAAUCUUAAUGUUUUUUAUCUCCUGAACUACUUUCUUUUAACCUUUCAUGAGCUGCCUGAUGUGAUGUGUAAUAUGAGAAGAAAGUCUUACUGAAAAGUGUAUGAAGUAUCUACUUGUAGUUAGCACAUCAGGCAAUAGCAUAGAAACCACAUUCAGUAGAGAGCAUGUAGGCUUCUGUUGCAAGGAAGUGGGACAGCUGCCAGCCAAAUCAAUACAGGGGGGCCACUCUUUGUUGGUCUGUAGCACCUACUGUCCACAGAGAUUCUAGUAAGGAAGGUAGGAAUCAAACACUUCUGAACACCUGAUACCUACCUGGCACUAUCCUGUGCUGUCACUAAGAGAUUAUUAUUUCUUCCUUAUAAUAACCUUGAAAAGCAGAAAUUAGGAGUUGUGUUUGUUUUGCAUUAAUGGUAACUGAAUUUCAAAAAAGUUGAGUAACUUUCUCUUUUGUGGGGGAGGUUCAUACAUACAUCAUAUGGAGGUUCUCAGGGUAGGGGUCAAAUCAGAGCUGCAGCUGCGGACCUAUACCACAGCCACAGCAACACCAAAUUAGAGUGGCAUUUGCAACCUACCCCACAGCUUACAGCAAUACCAGAAACUUAACCCACUGAGUGAGGGCAGGGAUGAAACCCUCAUCCUCACAGAUACUAGUAGGGUUCCUAACCUGCUGAGCCAUAACAGGAACUCCUAAGUAACUUUCUCAAAGUAGUAUGGCUCCUAACACAAAGCUUUUUUUGUUUUGUUUAUAGUCUCACCAAAAGAACACUAGAAAAGUUGAAAUGGAAUAAAUCUCAAAGGUGAUAUAAUCCAGGGUUAGCCAGAAACAUGCCCACUGGACAUUAAAAUAAACAGACACCCCUUUCCUUUGCAUUUAGAGAUACUUUUAUAGUAUACAUUUAAAAUUUUACUCCAAGAAUCUGUGACUGAGUCACCUUAAGAGAGCUGAUGCUCAAUUGACAUCCUAGGGUUAAAUUUAACCUCAUGAAGUUGUAAGGGUCUGGGGGGCUGAGAGACAAAAAAUAAUUCAGCAUGCCUGAGGUUACAUUACCUGUCUGCUUCCCUAGGAAGGAACAUUCUGUACCAUGACCUUGUCUAUAGACGGAAAAGUUAAAUUCCUACAUAGUGUGAUUCAAGGGAUUAUGAUAUUGUCUCCCUAACCAAAAAUAUCUCAUGCAUGGCCUAUUACUUGAGCUACUGUUUCUACCAUUAAAGAUUAACUCCUGAGGUUUUAAAAUUAAUCAUUCAAUAAAUAUACACAUUGGGGAAGAUGAAAACCUAAGGAAGUUUUGGUUAUUUUCAAAUAUUUCCAUGAUUCUUUCCUGACAGUGAAUUUUGAAAUGUUGGAAGAAAAAAAAGAAAGAGACUAUGCAUCCAAAGUGAGGAAAUAAAGAUUUUUCCCACCAACCCUCUCAUCUCUGCAAUUCCACAUCCUUGACACCCAUCAAGGCCCAGGGAAAAUGAGCGUCCCAUCUCCAUGAAGCAUUUUCUACAUCCCAGGUAAAAGGUGUUUACUACCUACCAUAUCCCAGGAAUAUUUAGGUACAAGUUCUAUCUAUUCUUACAGAAUAAAAGAUUCUUCGGUUUUCUCACUGCCUACCCCAGUGCCUUGAGCCUGCAUCUAAAAUGUCUCUAAUAAAUAUUUGCUGAAUGAUUGAUGAAGGAGAAAAUGGGAGCAGGGAAGGCACUAUGAUUCUUGUAUGUGAAGCCAGCUGAGAUUCAUGAAGACUUCAGUUUAACUCCCACGUCCACCCUGCCAGCUAGCUGUUUUCUGGGUGCACAAUGGGGACAUUCAAAAGCUCAGGAUGGGAAAAGUGUUCUCCUUGAAACAUGCCAUUCUUGUGUAUCAGUGAGAAGAAUGAGAAUGUGAUUCAUUUGAUGAUGACCGUAGCAUGCAGACUAUGCAUAUGCAUGCAUGUCAAAUGUUUCUGGUUUUGGUCCAUUAAAGAUAAAAAUGAGUCUAUGCGGUGUUUAUAUAAUCUGACAUUGAUUUACAAGUUUUACUUUCUUCCCCCUAACAACUAUGAAUCAUUUUCUACUAUAUGUGAUGAUUUUUUUUUAAAAGGACAUUAAUUGAAAUUAAUUGUAGCCACCUGGUAAUUUCAGGUAGUACUCUAAGGAUGCAUUUCCUACUAAAAGUAGCCUUUUCUGGACUGUGUUUAUGUUUACUUGAAUGUCCCCAAGCAUCAUUUAUCUCAGAAAAGAUCAAUGGAAAGGGACUCAGGCCAGUCCUGAAGGAAAUCAACAGAUCUGAAUAUGACUGCUAAAGCUUUCACCCACUCCUUUUAUUUUGGAUUCUUAUUUACUCAGCAUAAUGCCAUCUUUUUGCUCAUAAUCGCUUCAAUCAGCACUCUGUGCUGCUUCAAGGGCAAGACUGCCUGCUGAGACCGCCUUGCAAUUCAAUAAGCAGCCAGAAGGGGGGCCAGUGCACAGAAUUAACCACACAGAUUGCUUUUUCCUGUGUUUCCAUUUAAUGAACAUUCCUUCUAAAGGACUCACACACAAAAAAGUACUCUUAGGACCAAAAACAAAUCACAUUUACCCAUUAGUCACCCAGACUCUAAAGACUCAAUAAUAAUGAUGAUAACAAUAAUAGCAUCAUGAUUUACAAAUAUCUCAGUGAUGCCUCGGUUCCCCAGGCAAAUCCACUGACUGACAAGUUUUCUUAUUUGUAGGAUGAUUCAAACUAGCCUUCAAAACUUUAGUAUGCCAAGAGAUAUGCCAGUAUGGCAUUCACUUGACAGUGUACUUGACUUAUUGGUUUUAUCUAGCUUUGCAUUUCCAAAAUUGACAAGUCCAUUUGAAAAAAACUGUAAAACUUAGUAAGUAGAAUCAGACCUAUGACCUUAAAAAAAUACCCCUUGAUAGUUGUUGACUAAAAAAAUCUACAACCUGAAAGUUGAGAGUUAAGUUUUAUUUGGGGUGAAAUUUGGACUUAAGCCUGGGAGACAGCAUCUCAGGUAGCCCUAAGAAGCCACUCUUAGGUGUUGAGGGAGGAGCUAGGAUGUACAGGAGUCUUUGCAACAAAGGACGGGUAGCAGGAACAAAAGAGGUUUGGGCUCACCCAAACCAUUCCUUUGAUAUGCACAUCAGCUAUCAGGGCCGGUAUCCUGAGUUUUCAUAGCCUGCAGGAUUCACAGCUCUCACCGUUGGAAGUGACUGCAUUUACUGAUGACUAUGACAUUCUUUAUCCUUAACUAUAGACAGGGCUGAAAUACCACCCAAAGAGGAAAAGGGGGAAUAUCAGGAUAUGAUAAAGGUGACCAGGAGGUGCAUGCAGCACACAUACAUUUUACAAAAGUUUGUUGCUGAUAUCCUGAAGAUUAAUGCUAGUCUCAAGGAUGAGACAUCACCAUGAAGGAUUUUAGUGUUUUUCUAGGCAUGAGGAGAUGCAAGAAUUGGGCACAUAAGAUCUUCUUCUAAAAAUAUCUGACUAUCUGAAGGCCUGUUCUUCCAGUUUUCUUAAAGCACAGAGUGCCUCACUCUGGUCUCCACCCUGAGCUCCACUCAGGGGGUGCUGCAGGUUGGUAGCUGCAGUGGCUCAUAUUUUACUCCAUGUAGGGGCUGAUGGCAAGUGCCAAACUUCAGUUCACAUAAUCAUAUAUAUAUAUAUAUACACAUACAUAUAUAUUCUCUUACAAUCAGCAUAUUAAAUUUUAAUGAGCAUAUUAAAACUGUCACAACAAUCAUUCCUUCUGAGGAGUAAAGUAAAUCAUAACACAAACUUUUUUUGGCUACAUAUUUUGGUAAUUUCACUUGUCAUUGCAUUUGAUAAAUACUAAACGAAACAAUCAAAAGGUUUUAGAAUAAAAAAGAUGAACACUAGUUAGUGUGCUAGUUGUUUCCUUGACAAGGGCAUUACCUAAUCAGGACACAGAUAUCCAUACACACAACCAGACAUAUUAUGAUCUUUAUACUUUAGAUUUAUUUUUGCUUUCACAAAAGCACUUGACUCAACCAAUAAUAUACAAGAGCACUCAUGACACAAAAGACUCCAUGAUGGAAUAUUUGAACUCAAACUCCCACCAACUAUGUAUUUUGGACACUAUUCAACUUGAGCUGUCAGCGGCAUCUUGGAUUUAGAAUAAUCGCAAUAUUUACUGGGUUUCUAUUACAUGUCAGGCAAUGUUUAGGAGCUUUGGAUUCAAAGCUGAAAGAGUGUGGUGCUUGAUUUAUGUUCAGGAGAGAGGUGAGUAAAGAUUUGCAUUACAUUUAGAGAAGCAUCAGGAUAGAAUCAUAUUCGACAUACUGAAGGAGCCCAAAGGAGAAAAACACAUGCCUGUCAUGGGGACUACUCAGAACUUGAAGUGAGUAGUGUUCAAAAGCUGUAGAAAAUUGCUAUUCACAUCAGAUAUUUAAAUAUUUGUAUCUAUUUCCCACUGCGUAGUGGGAAAUUUAUCGAUCAUCUUGAUGAAUCAAAAUGGCAAGUUUCCUGCUAGCUUCUGAAAUUGGCUUCAUCAGCAUACAUGCACAAGUUGAUCAAGAAUAUGCUAUUGGAGAGUUCCUAUCAUGGCUCAGCAGAAACGAACCUGACUAGUAAUUAUGAGGACAUGGGUUUGAUCCCUGGCCUCACUCAGUGGGUUAAGGAUCCAAUGUUGCCCAGAGCUGUGGUAUAGGUCGAAGAUGCUGCUUGGAUCUGGCUUUGUUGCGGCUGUGGAGUAGGCCAGCAGCUAUAGCUCUGACUUGACCCCUAACCUGGGAACUUCCAUAUGCCACAGGUGUGGCCCUAAAAAGCAAAAAAAAAUCUGCCAUGAAUUUUCUCAGAAAGAAUAUUCUGUUCCACACCCUCCUUCUCAUGUCUCUGCUUUUCCAAGAUAAGGAAUUUUGUCCAUCAUCUGCGCCACCUCUGAUGUCAAAUGGUUAAAGUAGGUGAAACCUACACAUAGCCACUGAGUUGCUUUCUUAUUUCUUUGCCCUGUGCUACGUGCUGUCUCCUGUGAAAAAUAGCACAUGCCCUGAAGUUUCAGCUCAUGCCCAGUGUCUUUCUUUGAUCUGUGCAAGAAAUAGCCCAUACUUUCAAAUUUGGGAAUCUAUAAAACCUUUGAUUUUUUUCAUUUCCUUCAUGCCUUACUCCCUGUCUUCAGCUGUUCACAACUGCCAUAAAACAAGUGGGUACAACUGGGCUGAUAAUGUUAACUUCCUAAACAUCUCAGUCCCUCAGUGCCCUUCUGCCAGACUUAUCCUCAAGACUUUGACAGAACCCGCUCUCUGGUGGGGUUCACCAAGACUGUGACCAGCCCCUGGAAGACACUUCCUUAAUCACUGCUUCCAGGUGACAGCUCUCAUAAGACAGCUGUAAAUACUCUCUGGGUAACCACCCUCACUGCUCUUAGAAAUUUUAAUUAUCAGUGUGAAAAAAAUGGCCCUUUGACCUGGCACCUUAAAUUCCCCUCUUCUUGAACCUGACUUGAUUUUAUUUUUUAUUUUUUGCUUUUUAGAGCUGCACCCGCAGCAUAUGGAAGUUUCCAGGCUAGAAGAUGAAUCAGGGCUACAGCUGCUGGCCUAUAACACAGCCAUAGCAACGCAGGAUCUGAGCCACAUCUGCAACCUACACCACAGCUCACAGCAAUGCUGGAUCCCCAACCCACUGAGCAAGGCCAGGGAUUGAACCCUCAUCCUCAUGGAUACUAGUCAGAUUUGUUUCUGCUGCACCACAAAGGGAACCCUGAACUUGACAUUAUUUUAGAGUUCAUAAUCUAGUUCUACUUUUAAACCCUACUUCCCAGGUGAGGGAUCUCUAAUCCUUUAAUAUAGUGAGAAAAUGAGAGAGUGAAUGUGUUCACAAAAUUAUAUCUGACAUACAGAUAGAUAAAUAGAUAAUCAAUCAUACAUAUAUAUCAGCUAUCUGUAAAUGCAUUAAAAUAGAUUACUGUAAGAAGAAUGAUACAAAAAUUCACUAGUAACUAAGAAAUAUGCUUCUAAAAGAGACUGUUUUUCAACUAUAAAAAUUAUAGUGAUUUUUUUUUUCAAGACCCAUAUUCAUCUUAUUGCCUAAUAAUUUGUCAGUAGAAGAAACAGCAUUUGUUUAAAGGAGCAAUUUUGCAGUGACAGUCGGCUAAAUCAGCCAGGAUAGGAUAAAAGUCCAUGUUUCUGCAUCAAGCCUUAAUUCGACUAGAGCAGGUGGAAUUCCUAGAUGAUUUCUGAAUGCUCCUCUCUCCUCUGCCCCUCUCUUUCAGAAUGCAAAUCUAAGGUCCCUGUCUACAUAAAAUUAACUAAUGCUUAAACUAAUAAUGGGCUUGCACAUGAAUCAUUUCUCUAGCACUUCUAGAAU